GAUUAACGCUGGCGGCGUGCAUAACACAUGCAAGUCGAACGAUGAAACUUUAAUGAACCCUUCGGGGAGAAUUAAAGCGGAUUAGUGGCGAACGGGUGAGUAACGCGUGAGUAACCUGCCUUACACAAGGGGAUAGCCUUUGGAAACGAAGAAUAAUACCCUAUAAAACCAUAAAAGCACAUGCAAUUAUGGUCAAAGUGAUAGCGGUGUAAGAUGGACUUGCGUCUGAUUAGCUAGUUGGUGAGAUAAAAGCCCACCAAGGCAACGAUCAGUAGCCGGCUUGAGAGAGUGUACGGCCACAUUGGGACUGAGACACGGCCCAGACUCCCACGGGAGGGAGCAGUGGGGAAUUUUGCACAAUGGGGGAAACCCUGAUGCAGCGACGCCGCGUGAUUUAGAAGGCCUUCGGGUUGUAAAAAUCUUUUGUAUAGGAAGAAAAUGACAGUACUAUACGAAUAAGGUCCGGCUAAUUACGUG
rnacentral:rRNA from 1 species